GAAAGAUGGCUUUGGCUAUCACUCUGGGAUGGACCCGCGGUGCAUUAGCUAGUUGGUAAGGUAACGGCUUACCAAGGCGAUGAUGCAUAGCCGAGUUGAGAGACUGAUCGGCCACAAUGGAACUGAGACACGGUCCAUACUCCUACGGGAGGCAGCAGUAGGGAAUCUUCCACAAUGGGCGCAAGCCUGAUGGAGCAACACCGCGUGAGUGAAGAAGGGUUUCGGCUCGUAAAGCUCUGUUGUUGGAGAAGAACGUGCGUGAGAGUAACUGUUCACGCAGUGACGGUAUCCAACCAGAAAGUCACGGCUAACUACGUGCCAGCAGCCGCGGUAAUACGUAGGUGGCAAGCGUUAUCCGGAUUUAUUGAGCGUAAAGCGAGCGCAGGCGGUUGCUUAGGUCUGAUGUGAAAGCCUUCGGCUUAACCGAAGAAGUGCAUCGGAAACCGGGCGACUUGAGUGCAGAAGAGGACAGUGGAACUCCAUGUGUAGCGGUGGAAUGCGUAGAUAUAUGGAAGAACACCAGUGGCGAAGGCGGCUGUCUGGUCUGCAACUGACGCUGAGGCUCGAAAGCAUGGGUAGCGAACAGGAUUAGAUACCCUGGUAGUCCAUGCCGUAAAC
rnacentral:rRNA from 1 species